CAGGCGGCCAGUCUCCUGACGGACGACCUUAUCUUGGAGAUCCUCUCCCGCCUUCCGGCCAGGUCCGUCCACCGCUUCAAGUGCGUCUCCCCGGCCUGGCGCAACCUCAUCGCCGACCCCGCCCACCGCAAGAAGCUACCCCAUCCCCUCGCCGAUUUCCUGUACAACACCUACCACAGGCCGGACCCCCGCUUCUACAACUUCCACUUCGCCAAAGUCUCCGGCACCGCAGCCCCGCCGGUGGACAUGUCCCUCUCUUUCUUGACACCCGACGAGUAUUGGUAUGUCGACCAGCUAGACACCUGCAAUGGCCUCCUCCUCUGCGGCGCCCACAUGUUCCCUUUGUCUCCUUCCGGGGACAAGAAUACGCCGGUUGAAUCCCAUUACAUCGUGUGCAAUCCGGCCACCGGGAGGUGGGUCGACCUCCCCCCUCACCCCGAGGUGCCACCCGGCGGUCGCAUCUUCGCUCGCUUGUCUUUUGAUUCAGCAGUCUCGUCCCAUUUCCACGUUCUUCAGUUUAAGAACAGCCAGCAGAAGGAAUACGUCAUAGGAGUGAACAUCUACUCUUCUCAAACCGGGGCAUGGAUUUGUAGAGAAAGCCACUUGGCUGAGAAAAUUAGCCUGUUCACUGGCCUCGCAAGUGUCUUCUUUCACGGUAUGCUGCACUUGCUUGGUUUAUUGUAUCCCAUGAACAUGGAGGAUGAUGCUGUGCUGGUAGCCGUGGACAUGGAAGGCCAGGUGUGGAACACUAUCCGUGUGCCGUCUGGUGGUUUGAGUUUCGGUAGAAUUGGAUUGUCAAAGGGGUGUUUGCACUAUGCUACCACACCGCUAGCUACUGAUGACAAGAAGAAGAAGAAGAGGAAGAAGAAAAAGGAGGAUACAUCGACAGUCUGGUGCAUGAAGGAUUAUGAUAGUAAAGAAUGGGUCUUGAAGCAUAGUGUCAGCAACGAUGAGCAUUGGAACAUAACUGGUGUGGACUACAAAGUGGCUGCUUUUCAUCCAGACCGUGACACCUUUUUGGAUUCAUAUGAUGUUGAUACAUUGGUAUCAUACGAUAUGCAGCAUCAGAAAUUCCAUCAAAUCCGUAUUCUUCGGGAAAAUAGGGAAACACUAUUUGUACCCUAUGUUCCAUUGUUCUUAGACUCAUUUGCAGGUGCAGAUGGACAGUAG
rnacentral:rRNA from 1 species